rnacentral:sRNA from 1 species
GUUGGGUGUGGUGAUGCACACCUAUAAUCCCAGCAACUCAGGAGGCCGGGGCAGGAGGAUCACAAGUUUGACGGCAGCCUCAGCAAUUUGACAAGACCCUGUCUCAA